GUCGCUGAAGCGCUGCAUGUUCAUUCGGAAUUCGAGUCCUGUGCGAGCGGUCCAGCGUCUUUCUGACGGGCACGGCGAUUUCUGAGGAGCUACUAGACCAGACGGGGGUAACGAUACCUCAUGCAACAGCCAAGACAAAAAAAAAGACAUUUCAGAGGGAAGACAGAGAGAAUUCAGCGGCUUUAAAAGAGUGUGCGCCAUUUCCAGGCAUCGGGCUUCGACGAGGCCAAACCAAUUACAGCACUCCGAGGAGACCCCUGCACACGGCAUGCUUGGAUGUGAAGCUGUGCCACUGUAUCAAGAUGGUGGCUGCCCUGCCCAACUCGAGGCUUAGCAUCGGAAUUCCACUGGCCUUCCCGACCGGCAGUCUCCACGGUAUCAACCCGAGGGCAAUUACUUUGAUUGGUUAAGCCCGGAGCAACAGCACCUAUAGAUAUAUACCCAUACAUGCGUGUACUUAUAUGAAACUUUGCAGGGUGCCUCAGGCCGAAGCCAUGCGGGUUGUAGAGGCUCGAUUUCCCACAAAUCUUUGGAGUAAGGGCUGCUUGCAUCAUCCACGCCAGACAUCAAACGGAAUAUAGAGCCUGGUGAGAGGCCGGCACAGAAGCGCAACCCUAAAACGGGUGGUCAUUUCGAUUUUUGGAAACACUGCUCCUCAACGUGUUCUCAUGCAUAGAGGACUCGACACGACAUAUUGGUAUUAAAGAGACAACCUUUUUUUCUGGAAGUCCAAAACAGCCCUUCCGAAACCCUCCGCUAAACUUCACCA